AGCGGCGCCAGCACGCUGGCGGCGCGGCAGUUGGCGCUUGCCGCCUUGGCCGGUUCGGGCUUGGCCGCCACCGCCA
rnacentral:tRNA from 1 species